AGCCUUUAGCAGCACAAGUAUUAAAGGUCCUGCCUGCCCAGUGAAUUCUUCAACGGCCGCGGUAUUCUAACCGUGCAAAGGUAGCGUAAUCACUUGUCUCUUAAAUAGGGACUAGUAUGAACGGCUAAAUGAGGACAAGCCUGUCUCCUACAACCAAUCAGUGAAACUGAUCUUCCAGUCCAAAAGCUGAAAUAUAACCACAAGACGAGAAGACCCUGUGGAGCUUAAAAAUCUAUUACCAAAAACCUCGUGGUAAAAAUUUUUGAGUUGGGGCGACUUCGGAAUAAAACAAAACUUCCGAGCACAGAACCACCACUUCUAACCAAGGCAGACAUGCCAAAGAACAAGUUUGACCCAGUCACACUGAUCAACGAACCAAGUUACCCCAGGGAUAACAGCGCCAUCUUCUUUAAGAGUCCAUAUCGACAAGAAGGUUUACGACCUCGAUGUUGGAUCAGGACACCCAAAUGGUGCAGCCGCUAUUAAAGGUUCGUUUGUUCAACGAUUAAUAGUCCU
rnacentral:rRNA from 1 species